UACGGAGGGGGCUAGCGUUGUUCGGAAUUACUGGGCGUAAAGCGCACGUAGGCGGCUUUGUAAGUUAGAGGUGAAAGCCCGGGGCUCAACUCCGGAAUUGCCUUUAAGACUGCAUCGCUAGAAUUGUGGAGAGGUAAGUGGAAUUCCGAGUGUAGAGGUGAAAUUCGUAGAUAUUCGGAAGAACACCAGUGGCGAAGGCGACAUACUGGACACAUAUUGACGCUGAGGUGCGAAAGCGUGGGGAGCAAACAGG
rnacentral:rRNA from 1 species